rnacentral:ncRNA from 1 species
ACGGGGCCAAGCAACCUCCCGUUGAGGCCAUGACCGGCCCAAGCGUUGC